rnacentral:lncRNA from 1 species
UUGGGAAUGAGAGAGAUUGAGCGAAAGAGAUGAACCAAAAAGAAUGUUUAAGGUAAGAAACCCCUAGGGACAAAGAAAGUUAGAAAGGAAAAGCUCUAAAGUAUCAAUAGAACCCCCUCCCAAAUAUUAAAAAAAAAAGGGAAUCAAAUAAACAAUAGUUGAGUGGGGGAAGAGAAAAGAAAAGAGCUAAGUCUAAAAGUUUAAAUUCAAAAGAACAAGUCUCUAGUUAGUUAAAUCAAAGGAAAGAAAGAAAUGAAUGGUAGAACUUAAAGCUACUUAAGAAAAGGGUAGAAUGAUGAGAACAAUCAUUGUAUGCAUGAAUUGCUCAUUUUCUUAGAUAAAUUUUGCAUAAUGAUCUUGCUCAUAUUCUUGAGUGU